AGGCAGCAGUGAGGAAUAUUGCGCAAUGGGGGAAACCCUGACGCAGCGACGCCGCGUGAGUGAGGAAGGCCUUCGGGUCGUAAAGCUCUGUCAGAAGGGAAGAAGUGUUAUACGGUUAAUACCCGUAUAAUUUGACGGUACCUUCAGAGGAAGCACCGGCUAACUCCGUGCCAGCAGCCGCGGUAAUACGGAGGGUGCGAGCGUUGUUCGGAAUUACUGGGCGUAAAGGGCGCGUAGGCGGCUUUAUAAGUCAGAUGUGAAAGCCCACGGCUUAACUGUGGAAGUGCAUUUGAAACUGUGAAGCUUGAGUAUCGGAGGGGAGUGUGGAAUUCCCGGUGUAGAGGUGAAAUUCGUAGAGAUCGGGAGGAACACCGGUGGCGAAGGCGACACUCUGGACGAAUACUGACGCUGAGGCGCGAAAGCGUGGGGAGCAAACAGGAUUAGAUACCCUGGUAGUCCACGCCGUAAACGAUGUGAACUAGAGGUAGGUGGUGUUGAUCCCAUCUGUCUCGCAGCUAACGCAUUAAGUUCACCGCCUGGGGAGUACGGUCGCAAGAUUAAAACUCAAAUGAAUUGACGG
rnacentral:rRNA from 1 species